AUGACGAGUGGCGGACGGGUGAGUAAUGCUUGGGAACUUGCCUUUGCGAGGGGGAUAACAGUUGGAAACGACUGCUAAUACCGCAUAAUGUCUUCGGACCAAACGGGGCUUCGGCUCCGGCGCAAAGAGAGGCCCAAGUGAGAUUAGCUAGUUGGUAAGGUAACGGCUUACCAAGGCGACGAUCUCUAGCUGUUCUGAGAGGAAGAUCAGCCACACUGGGACUGAGACACGGCCCAGACUCCUACGGGAGGCAGCAGUGGGGAAUAUUGCACAAUGGGGGAAACCCUGAUGCAGCCAUGCCGCGUGUGUGAAGAAGGCCUUCGGGUUGUAAAGCACUUUCAGUUGUGAGGAAAAGUUAGUAGUUAAUACCUGCUAGCCGUGACGUUAACAACAGAAGAAGCACCGGCUAACUCCGUGCCAGCAGCGCGGUAAUACGGAGGGUGCGAGCGUUAAUCGGAAUUACUGGGCGUAAAGCGCACGCAGGCGGUUUGUUAAGCUAGAUGUGAAAGCCCCGGGCUCAACCUGGGAUGGUCAUUUAGAACUGGCAGACUAGAGUCUUGGAGAGGGGGAGU
rnacentral:rRNA from 1 species